AUUAGAGACAGCUGUCAAUCUUCCAUGGAGUGGACAUCCCAAAGGUCAAACUGCGCAAUGCUCGGAAAAAGUACAAAAAAAAUCCAAGAGUGACAUCUGAGAUUCUGCAGACCUCAUUUAGCAUGUUACAUGUCAAAGUUUAUAAAAGUACAAUUAGAAACAAACCAACCAAGCAUAGAUCAUUUGUAAAGAUUGCCGGGAGAAAAACCUCUCUUUAAAACUGGGUUACUAUAGUUGUUUUUAAUUCAGUUUAGUUUUCAUUGGUUUCCGGAGUGGAUUUGCUCAUUUCAGUUUGCAUGAAAAUGUUUAGUUUUAGUUUAAUUAUUAUAGUAGGGAUGGGCAAGAUCUGAGGCAAGAUUUAGGAAAAUCUUGCCACAGUCUUGUAGAUAUUCAAAGUCCCAAUAAGCAUGUUCAUCAAAGCCUCAUCAGGUAAGCUGAAAAACCAAAUUUUGCCAAAGUAGCUAAUACUAAAACUAAUAUUUCCUCUCCAUUUUUUUUAAAUUUUCUUUUAGUUUAGUGGUCAGUUAGUUCUACUUAAUUUUUUGACAUUCAAUUUUCUAUUUUUAUUUUAGCAAACAAUUUUUUUUUGUUUCAUAUCUAGUUUUUGUUUUUAGUUUAGUUUUAGUUAACUGUAAAGAACAUGACUGCAUGACUUAGGUAAUCAAAGUUACAUCUGUGAUGUCCGUGAACUUCUCCAUAUAUCGGUGAAUUCAAACCUCAAUAACGUGAAGCAAGGGAGAGCUGCACUGUAAAGGAGAGCUGGCCUAAAUUCCUUCACAGUGAUAUGUGAAUGUGAUGAAGGAAUACAGAAAACGAUUACUGGAAGUUAUUGCUGCUAAAGGUUGUUCUACAAGCAAGGAUCAUGGAGUGUUUUUAAUUUUUCCACACACUGCUUCUGGAUUUGACUUAGUAUAUGUGAAGUAAAUAAUUACAUGUUUUAUGUCAUGUUUUGUAGAUCAUCUGAGACUAUAUUUACCUAAUUUUAGAAUUUGCUCAGGAUCAGGUUGAUUUGAUCAUGUGCUGAUAUGUAAAACCUCAGAGCUGACAUAGGAUUGUCAAUUUAACAAUGAUUACAGAUUCUUCAUUUUAGGAUGAUGAUAAUUUUGAGUUCACUAGUUUUCAGGUCAAAGAAAUUUCAAAUUAAAGAAAAUAACGAACAUUAAAUCACUAUUUAAA
ensembl:lncRNA